UAUGUACUCCCUCCAUCCGAAAAAGCUUGUCCCUCAAAUGGAUGUAUCUAGCACCAAGUUAGUGCUAGAUACAUCCAUUUGAGAAACAAGCUUGGGACAAGUUUUUUCAGACGGAGGGAGUAACUU
rnacentral:pre_miRNA from 1 species